rnacentral:rRNA from 1 species
GUGGGGAAUCUUCCGCAAUGGACGAAAGUCUGACGGAGCAACGCCGCGUGAGUGAAGAAGGUUUUCGGAUCGUAAAGCUCUUUCGUUAGGGACGAACGUGCUCUUUGUGAAUAAUGAGGAGUAAUGACGGUACCUAAAUAAGAAGCCACGGCUAACUACGUGCCAGCAGCCGCGGUAAUACGUAGGUGGCAAGCGUUGUCCGGAAUUAUUGGGCGUAAAGCGCGCGCAGGCGGGAUAUCAAGUCUGUCUUAAAAGUGCGAGGCUCAACCUCGUGAGGGGACAGAAACUGGUAUUCUUGAGUGUCGGAGAGGAAAGUGGAAUUCCAAGGGUAGCGGUGAAAUGCGUAGAGAUUUGGAAGAACACCAGUGGCGAAGGCGACUUUCUGGACGAUGUCUGACGCUGAGGCGCGAAAGCUAGGGGAGCGAACGGGAUUAGAUACCCCAGUAGUCC